rnacentral:rRNA from 1 species
CGCCGUCACUCCUACGGGAGGCAGGCAGUGGGGAAUAUUGCACAAUGGGGGAAACCCUGAUGCAGCCAUGCCGCGUGUGUGAAGAAGGCCUUCGGGUUGUAAAGCACUUUCAGUCGUGAGGAAGGUAGUGUAGUUAAUAGCUGCAUUAUUUGACGUUAGCGACAGAAGAAGCACCGGCUAACUCCGUGCCAGCAGCCGCGGUAAUACGGAGGGUGCGAGCGUUAAUCGGAAUUACUGGGCGUAAAGCGCAUGCAGGUGGUUUGUUAAGUCAGAUGUGAAAGCCCGGGGCUCAACCUCGGAAUAGCAUUUGAAACUAGCAGACUAGAGUACUGUAGAGGGGGUAGAAUUUCAGGUGUAGCGGUGAAAAUGCGUAGAGAUCUGAAGGAAUACCGGUGGCGAAGGUGGCCCCCUGGACAGAUACUGACACUCAGAUGCGAAAAGCGUGGGGAGCAAACAGGAUUAGAUACCCUGGUAG